rnacentral:rRNA from 1 species
UAUGAAGGGGGCUAGCGUUGCUCGGAAUUACUGGGCGUAAAGCGCACGUAGGCGGAUUGUUAAGUCGGGGGUGAAAUCCUGGAGCUCAACUCCAGAACUGCCUUCGAUACUGGCGAUCUCGAGUUCGGGAGAGGUGAGUGGAACUGCGAGUGUAGAGGUGAAAUUCGUAGAUAUUCGCAAGAACACCAGUGGCGAAGGCGGCUCACUGGCCCGAUACUGACGCUGAGGCGCGAAAGCGUGGGGAGCAAACAGG